rnacentral:rRNA from 1 species
AGCGUCGUGCUUAUACUCUGCCGUCGGGACAGUAGUGAUAUCUUUACUACUCUACGGAGUGUAAAAUAUCGUCAGGUCUCGACGAGUAGGUGGGCCGCGGCGGUGAGCGCAGAAGGACUGGGCGUAGGCCCGUCUGGAGCCGCCGUCGGUGCAGAUCUUGGUGGUAGUAGCAAAUACUCCAGCGAGGCCCUGGAGGACUGACGUGGAGAAGGGUUUCGUGUGAACAGCCGUUGCACACGAGUCAGUCGAUCCUAAGCCCUAGGAGAAAUCCGAUGUUAAUGCAGUUGUGUCUUUAUUAUAUGGAUGACGUUAUUUUUUGUUAGUGUGAGAGUUUCAAACAGUUGACGUUCAUACUUUGAUACAGAUGUAUAUAAUAAUGCUGACUGAUUUAUCAGAUACUACUAUCACUGACCACUCACUUCGUUCACUACUGAAUGUUCAAUAAUAAGUGUAGCUCACUAUUGCUGCUGGUUCUCAGUUAGUCGUAGACUCUCGCUUUUUGGUGUUCAGCACAGCGUUGUGUUUGUGUUCUGUUGGUUUUGUAGAUGAUAGUUGAAACACUUUAUUAUUGUAGAUAAGUGUCCUCUGUCUCUAUCCGCUGAUAUAAUAACAAAUUCGUUGUUAGAGAAGUAUCACACUCAUUGGGCGAAAGGGAAUCCGGUUCCUAUUCCGGAACCCGGCAGCGGAACCGUUUACAAGUCGGGCCCUCUUUAGAGAGUUCGUCGGGGCAACCCAACAAGACCUGGAGACGCCGUCGGGAGAUCCGGGAAGAGUUUUCUUUUCUGUAUGAGCGUUCGAGUUCCCUGGAAUCCUCUAGCAGGGAGAUAGGGUUUGGAACGCGCAGAGCACCGCAGUUGCGGCGGUGUCUGGAUCGUCCCCUCGGACCUUGAAAAUCCAGGAGAGGGCCACGUGGAGGUGUCGCGCCGGUUCC